UAAUGGUAUGGGAUUCACAUGGUUAAGCUAGGAGAAAGUAAGAGAAUGAUAAUAUAUUGGCAUUGUGGGAAUUUUUUCCCAUAUAGUAAUCCGGAUUUUUUUCCUAGAUAAAUUCCCCCUUUUCUAUCAUCAGCUAGUAGCGCAGCUCAGCUACAUACAUAUCCAGCUUUUUUUUUUUUUUUUUCUCUAGUAAGACAUAUCCAGCUUGUUGGGUGCAUGAGUCCAGGAGGUUGAAGUUAUUGACCCUCCAAAGUUCAUAUCUGGCUUGUAGCCGGGCGACUGGUCCUCCAGAUGGCAUUUAUUGAAAUGGAAAAAGUUCUGUCACCCUCAAUGAAGUGAAAAUCAUUUCUCCUUCAUUGUCGAAGUUUAAUAUAUUCUUUCUCAAUCCAAUCAAAAGGUCAAAUCCUGUAAAUUAAGAGAUUCUCUCUUCCUUUCGAUUUUCCUGUGUAUAAAGAGAAAUUCCAUUGGAUCUAAUCUAUUUGAAAUCAACAAACUUAAAAGUACUAUUGCUUCGUCACAACGUUUUUAAAGAGUGGAACCGGGUCUGGUCGAUAGCAGCUGGGAUUGGUCAAGAAUCCAUUCUAAACCUAGUUUUUGAAAGGGGAUCAGUCGAGUCAAUCGGAUUGGCCUUGACCGAUCCUAAUUCUUGGAUGCAAGGUCUAUCACUGCUGUUCGGAUUCUGAUUCAGCCCAGGUUCAGGCCCAGGCCCAGAGACCCAUAAUUGCAAGAAUGAAAAAUUAGCUAUGCCACGUGCUCCUGAUACUAAAAGUUUAUAUGGGCGCCAUCCCACCGGUUCAUGUCAUUCAAUUCAAAUCCUUUUGCGGGAUUCUGAUCUUAUCUUCCGCCAUCAGAAAGAAAGUGGAAAACCAUUAUUAACCUCUUCCCUUUUCCCCUUCUUUAAUGUAUUAAAUUCUUAUUUUUACAGCUGGGAUCUAGAAACCCAACUUCGAAUGGAAUUAUGAUAGAAUGUAAGGUAUUUGUGAAUUUGUUUAUCUCUACACUAAAACUAUAUGACCAAAAGGAAGCAAAUGAAACCAAAAUGAAAAGUGAUAAGACUUCUAGUUGGAUAAUUGAAUUGUGACAUAAAGGUUUUGAUUCGUGUCUCUCUACUUAAGUUACUCUAAAUUAAGAGUUUUAUUUCUGGAUCAUAUGUUCCGGUUAUGAAUUCAGUCACAGGAUUCAAAUCGUGAACCUUGCAAGUACUCAAACCAUUGAAUUUCUGGCCAAAUAGGUUCAGGAACUGACCGAAUGGAAACUUGGAAGAGUCGCCAUUGUUGCUUUUGUUGUUUUUCAUGUUGAACAUCCCCCCACCGGUUGAGGGCCCUGGUGGAAGAUCUGGAGGAUUUGGCCGUGGGGGUGGUGGUUAUGGUGCAGGUCCUGCUAGCUCUAGUGUUGCUUAGGAGGCAGAUGUCUCACAAAUGCUUAAUUUUGGCUGUUAUAGUGAGCAGUAUAAAUCCUGUAGUGGUCAUUUGUUGACAUUAGUUUUUGUGUCUUUUUUUUUAAUGGGUUGUACUCAGUUGAGUUUGACAAGUGACCUAUAAUUAUAUUUCAUGGCACCAGUUACCUAUAAUAUUGUUGAUGUUGAAGUUUACGGAUUGGAUUGAAACUCAACAUCUGGUUUC